UACGUAGGUGGCAAGCGUUGUCCGGAAUUAUUGGGUGUAAAGCGCGCGCAGGCGGCUUCUUAAGUCUGAUGUGAAAUCUCGGGGCUCAACCCCGAGCGGCCAUUGGAAACUGGGAAGCUUGAGUACAGAAGAGGAGAGUGGAAUUCCACGUGUAGCGGUGAAAUGCGUAGAUAUGUGGAGGAACACCAGUGGCGAAGGCGUCUCUCUGGUCUGUAACUGACGCUGAGGCGCGAAAGCGUGGGGAGCAAACAGG
rnacentral:rRNA from 1 species